CUGAACUAUAACCCCCUCUUCCUCCCAUUUUAUACACACAACUAAUUAUAACCUAACCCGUUUUUCGUUCCCUGUUCAGUAUUCCCGACUUAGACAUGACCCGACUCUGCAAUUCCGGCAACUGUGAUAUCUCAAUUCGCAAACUUUCUCAAUUCUGACGGCCUGCAUCUGCUUUUUGAGUUCCGUUUUUCCCCACGAGGUUCAGACAAGUAUGGAAGAUAGAAAACCUGAACCUGUAGCAGCGCUUGAAAUAACUAUUAAUGGGGAGGUGAAAGGUGAACUGAAAAUCAAGCUUAAGAUCAAUGAGGUAUCGGAUACCGUAAAAAAUUUUCUCCAUCUUUGCAAUGGAGUGAAUAUAGAUGGAGAAGUGUCUUAUUUCUACCGUGGUGCACCAUUUCACCGCAUCAUCCCUGGCUGUAUGUGCCAGGGAGGUGAUUUUGAACACGGAAAUGGAUUUGGAGGCCGCUCGGUAUUUGGUCUUUUUUCUCAUGAAAACCAUACUCUUGUACACGGUAAAAAGGGAGAUGUGGCUAUGGCGGGGGCUCAAAGUAUUGGUUCCCAGUUUUAUAUCAUUUUUGGGGAAGCUCACCAACUCGAUGGAGAUUUUGUUGUUUUUGGGGAGGUUGAAAAGUCGUCUUUCCACAUUCUUGAUUUGAUAGAGCAAGAAAGAUGUGUUGAUGCGGACGACGGGGAGCCCAAAAAUACAGUAGUUAUCGCAGAUCUGGGCAAAUGGUAAAUGGUCAACCAAGUUGGUCAAUGGCGAAAGAGUUUAAUUGGCUGGGCCGCAAGUGUGUAGACUAUAACACUGAUGAUGACGGCGAUAUACCACUUGUAGGCACUGAUUAUUUGGUAUGAAGUGUUAAACUUAUUUAUAGCACUUAUUUAGGUACUUUAAGCUAGAAUUUAUGCUAUCUAGUUGUAGGAUGAUUUGUAGCUACUUAUAUGGUGUCACAUUCAAAGGGGAGCUUCGACUAAGAGGACUUCCUAAAAAGUGAUAUUCUCAUUGUUUUGGUUUUAUGAUUUUAGCCCAUCUUAACUUUAUCCAAGUAUCAAAUAGUUCGGAUUUAUGCUAUCUACUUUGGUUUUAUUACAA